rnacentral:misc_RNA from 1 species
CGCUGCCUCGUGCCUGUACACCGAACGCUCGACUGCGAUCUGCGUCGGUCUCCUGGGUGGUAUGGUUCCCCAGAGGCCGGUUCUUGUGCUGCCUACCCCUUCAGGGGAAGCGGGCCGCUUGAUGCAAGCCUCCAUCCCGCGCCCUCCAACGGGCGCAGGAGGACAACGGAGCACCCCCCGCGUUCCACCGAGCCUCCUCGGUCGCGUGGCGAGCGGGGGCGUGCGAUGAUCUCGGACCUAGCGAACACCGUGGGCGAGGACUCUAAUGCCAGUCCCGAUAAAAGCUCCCACAUAAUGCACGGCGGUGCGGGGCGAGGCGCGGCGUCGCGGAGGAGUGCUACCUGGUUGAUCCUGCGCAGUAGUCAUAUGCUACA